GGGUAUGCCAUAGAGGAUUUGACAAGGUCACACAUUAUGUGAUGCUCAUAGCAGAUGCACUUUAUCGUCUUGUGAUGGCCUCCAUGCUCGUAUUAAAGGGCCCAGAAUCUUCUGGAAGAGAGGACUCAGGAUGCACUAAAUUUUUUUUUUAACACCCAGCCGUCCUUGUGUUGGAGGACCCCAGGAUCCUUCAGCUCAGGCUGGAGCCGGCCAGGCUCCUCAGGUGUGGCUCGGGAGGCCUGGGCAAGUGCCAGGUGCUGUAAGGGGUGGCACCUGGUUAGCCUCACCUUAGUCCUGACUCUGGCGUUAGUGGCGUGCUUUCUCCCCUGCAUUUUGCUCUCAUGGAGGUUUCUCAUCCUCUGAUUCUCAAGUUAAGUGUCACUUCCUCCGGGAAGCCUUCCUGGGAAAUCUCUAAAGUCCCUCAGGUCCCCCUAAAACAUCCCUCCCCCUAGCUUGCCCUUUACAUCUCUAAGCAAAUGCUAAUAUACUAAUUAUGCUGGUUGGGUGUGGCCAGUUCAGUCAGCAUCACUGUCUCUCCUUUCACCGCAGAGCAGAGGCUGGGAGCUGCAGUUUCCCAGAAUCCCCGGAUCCCAGGACAGUCCUAGGGUAGAUGUGUUGCAAGGAGAGAAAAGGGGCCGGUAUUCUCCAGAGGUAAGCAGCCAGACAAGGGCACAGACACGAGGCUGAAAGCGGCUCGCAGGAACUACCCACACAUCGACCUUUGGGGGAAACCCACGCAAAGGACUGGAGUCUGGAAGUGGCCCCUGAAAGCGAUUCUCAGGAUGAUGUUUUGGAACUGUCCAAAGUUCCAAAAGAGCUGCUGAGGACAGCUGCCUCUGUGCUUCUCAGAGAUGCUGGCUUACUCUCCUCCAGCCCUGCCCGACUCCCCAGUGCGGAGCAUCCCUGUUCAAACUUCAAGGGGCCAUCCCCGCCGCGGGUCACCCCAGCUCCAAGUGGCCUUACCACAGCAGAGAAUGCCUUGUUACAGGGCCCUCCACCCUCUAGGACUCAGAGAAGUAGAUCCAAAGGGCCCUUGCUUGAGAUGAUUCCAGCAGAGAUGCGUGGGGUGGAGCCUCUGGUGCCAAAGAACUGGGUUCUAGUUCCAGCCUGCACACUCCCUGGUUCUGAGACAUCUGGCAAGUUGCUUCACCUGCGUCCUGGUUUCUACCUUCAGAGGGGGCAGAUCUUGGAACCAAUGUCCUGGGGCUGUUCUUCUGGACACCCCACUGGCUGCUGCACCUGUUCUAAAGGCAGUCUCUGAAAAGUGCCUAAGUAGGGGGGUGAUGCCUGGAAUGGUGGGAGGAGGCCUUUCACCCGCUAGGAAUCUGGUCUGAGGAAGGUGCUUGCUGUGCGUCCUACUGGGGGUUACCCUAGUUUUAAAAGAAUCUGGGAGAUGGGCAAUGAGGGGGGCACUUGGCGGGAUGAGCACUGGGUGUUAUGCUAUAUGUUGGUAAAUUGAACUCCAAUAAAAAAAAAAGAAUCAUGUGUCA
rnacentral:lncRNA from 12 species